AGAGUUUGAUCCUGGCUCAGGACGAACGCUGGCGGCGCGCCUAACACAUGCAAGUCGAACGAGCGAGAGAGAGCUUGCUUUCUCGAGCGAGUGGCGAACGGGUGAGUAACGCGUGAGGAAUCUGCCUCAAAGAGGGGGACAACAGUUGGAAACGACUGCUAAUACCGCAUAAGCCCACGGUGCCGCAUGGCACAGAGGGAAAAGGAGCAAUCCGCUUUGAGAUGGCCUCGCGUCCGAUUAGCUAGUUGGUGAGGUAAUGGCCCACCAAGGCAACGAUCGGUAGCCGGACUGAGAGGUUGAACGGCCACAUUGGGACUGAGACACGGCCCAGACUCCUACGGGAGGCAGCAGUGGGGAAUAUUGCACAAUGGGGGAAACCCUGAUGCAGCGACGCCGCGUGGAGGAAGAAGGUCUUCGGAUUGUAAACUCCUGUUGUUGGGGAAGAUAAUGACGGUACCCAACAAGGAAGUGACGGCUAACUACGUGCCAGCAGCCGCGGUAAAACGUAGGUCACAAGCGUUGUCCGGAAUUACUGGGUGUAAAGGGAGCGCAGGCGGGAAGACAAGUUGGAAGUGAAAUCUAUGGGCUCAACCCAUAAACUGCUUUCAAAACUGUUUUUCUUGAGUAGUGCAGAGGUAGGCGGAAUUCCCGGUGUAGCGGUGGAAUGCGUAGAUAUCGGGAGGAACACCAGCGGCGAAGGCGGCCUACUGGGCACCAACUGACGCUGAGGCUCGAAAGUGUGGGUAGCAAACAGGAUUAGAUACCCUGGUAGUCCACACCGUAAACGAUGAUUACUAGGUGUUGGAGGAUUGACCCCUUCAGUGCCGCAGUUAACACAAUAAGUAAUCCACCUGGGGAGUACGACCGCAAGGUUGAAACUCAAAGGAAUUGACGGGGGCCCGCACAAGCAGUGGAGUAUGUGGUUUAAUUCGACGCAACGCGAAGAACCUUACCAAGUCUUGACAUCCCUUGACAGGCAUAGAAAUAUGUUUUCUCUUCGGAGCAAGGAGACAGGUGGUGCAUGGUUGUCGUCAGCUCGUGUCGUGAGAUGUUGGGUUAAGUCCCGCAACGAGCGCAACCCUUAUGGUCAGUUACUACGCAAGAGGACUCUGGCCAGACUGCCGUUGACAAAACGGAGGAAGGUGGGGAUGACGUCAAAUCAUCAUGCCCUUUAUGACUUGGGCUACACACGUACUACAAUGGCGUUAAACAAAGAGAAGCAAGACCGCGAGGUGGAGCAAAACUCAGAAACAACGUCCCAGUUCGGACUGCAGGCUGCAACUCGCCUGCACGAAGUCGGAAUUGCUAGUAAUCGUGGAUCAGCAUGCCACGGUGAAUACGUUCCCGGGCCUUGCACUCACCGCCCGUCA
rnacentral:rRNA from 1 species